rnacentral:tRNA from 2 species
AGGGCGGUGGCUCAAUUGGUAGAGCAGCGGUCUCCAACACCGCAGGUUGCAGGUUCGAGUCCUGUCCGCCCUGC